rfam:Glycine soja cultivar W05 scaffold5286_1, whole genome shotgun sequence.
CUCUUAUUGGAUGAUGACGGUCACAUAUCAUGAUCUGAUUGGAUGUCAACUCUAUGGAAGAUGAAAUGUAUUGUAGUUGUCAUUGGUCAAUUAGAAUAGAACACGUGGUUGUCAUAAUCCAAUAAGAACGUGACACGUGACAGUCAACAUUU